AUGGAAAGGGAGUCCGAGUACUGGCACCACCUCCUCACAGCUUCGUUUUCUCUCCCCACCUCAGGGGCCCGGUCCCAAGUGGUUCUGACUCAGUCAGGUCCAGAAGUGAAGAGAACCGGAGAAUCUACUACACUGAGAUAUGCCGUGAGCGGGUUUGAUGUGAAUGGCUGGUGGAUGGCUUGGAUCAGGCAGAGCCCAGGGAAGGGGCUGGAGUGGCUGGUUAGCUACAGGUCAUCCUCACAGAGCAACCACUACUCCCCCGUCAUCCAAGGACGCGUCCGAGUCUCCAAGGACAGCUCCAACUUCUACCUGGAGCUGAAGAGCCUGAAGCCCGAGGACAUGGCCAUGUACUACUGUGCCAGAGAUGCACAGUGA